GCCUCUGCAAGAAGCAAAGUGGACGGCCGGGCGCGGUGGCUCACUCCUGGAAUCCCAGCACUUUGGGAGCCCGAGGUGGGCGGAUCACGAGGUCAGGAGAUCGAGACUGUUCUGGCUAAACCAGUGAAACCCCCUCUCUACUAAAAAAAUAACAAAAGCGAAGUGCAUCUCCCAUAAACGAGGUACUGCAGGAAGAAAGCAGAAAAUGAGACCCGAGUACACACAUGCACGCGGGCGUGCGCACACACACACCAGAAGAAAUGAACCAAGAGGAAAGGAAAUAUUUUCAAGUAAGCAUUUGGAGAUGGGAAAAAC
rnacentral:lncRNA from 1 species